rnacentral:rRNA from 1 species
UACGAAGGGGGCUAGCGUUGCUCGGAAUUACUGGGCGUAAAGGGCGCGUAGGCGGCACUGUUAGUCAGGCGUGAAAGUCCUGGGCUCAACCUGGGAACUGCGCUUGAUACGGCAGAGCUAGAGGAUGGAAGAGGCUCGCGGAAUUCCCAGUGUAGAGGUGAAAUUCGUAGAUAUUGGGAAGAACACCGGUGGCGAAGGCGGCG